GCGAUCACGGUCCAGCCCCGCGUCCAUCGGACCGCCCCCUUGCUCACCGCCCACCCCCUGCUCAUGGCCCUGGUGGGGUGGUUCCAGUUUGGGGCUUUGGGGACGGAACCCAGGCGGUGUUUCCGGUGGCCACACGUGUGCACUUCCAGGGUCACAUCCAGGAUCAGAACCAUGGGGCGUGGCCGUGUCUCGCCCACUGGAGAGGACACUGCCGCGAGCAGCCCCGCCCCUGGGAACACGCGGCAGAGUCCUGGUCACGCCCAGCCCCCGCCUGUGCCGGGUGCAUGGCGGGCACUUCUGUGGCUCUCGUGGGUUGUGCUGUUGGCGCCCCGUGCCGGCCUCUUAGGGGCACUGGGGAGGCCUCUCAGGUCCCCCUGGUAGCCAGGCCACAGGGAACACCCUCGGUGCCACCGUGGGGGCCUGGCUGAGCGCCAGGGGCAAAGCCCACAACACCACAGCCUUCAGAGACCGGGCUCCCCUGGGGCUCGGCCACCCCAGAUGCUACGGGCAGUGGCUCCGGUCACAGCCCUUCUCGGGUGCCUCCCCAGUCCUGGGGUCACAGCCUCCCCCCUCCACCCGUGAAGCCCCUGUCUCGGCCGGGCCUUGCCCAGCACACUGUGGGGCGGAGCUUGUCCCUAACCCCGCCUCUCACUCAUCUUCCAUCUCCUCUCUGAGAUCACCGCACUUACCACGCCCUGGCCACGGAGCACGGACACACAGGCCCGCUCAGCACACGGAUCCAGGCAGACCUGGGACAGCCGGCCCGGCACUGAGGACAGACCUGCAAGGACUCCCACAGAGCUGCCUGGGGACGCGGGUCUCCUCCAGGCACGAGGGACAUGGGGUCCCCUCCAGACCCUGAGGACACGGGGUCCCCUCCAGACCCUGGGGACACUGGGGAUAUAGGGUCCCCUGCAGAUACUGGGGACGUGUGGUCACUUCCAGGCACUGGGGACGUGGGUCACCUCCAGACCCUGGGAACACUGGGGACGCGGGGUCUCCUCCAGGCACUGGGGAACACUGCGGACGCAGGGGGUCCCCUCCAGACCCUGGGAACACUGGGGACGUGGGUCCCCUGCAGACCCUGGGAACACUGGGGACAUGGGUCCCCUGCAGAUACUGGGGACGCGGGGUCACUUCCAGGCACUGGGGAACACUGGGGAUGUGGGGUCUCCUCCAGGCACUGGGGACGUGGGUCCACCUCCAGGCACUGGGGACACGGGGUCACUUCCAGGCACUGGGGAACACUGGGGACGCGGGUCCACCUCCAGGUGCUGUGCCUGCUGCCGGCCCGCCCGGUGCAUCAUCCCCUCAGGGCGGCGCUGUGGUGCACUGGGUAAAACCCCUCUGCCUGCAGCACCAGCAUCCAGCAUGGGCCCUGGUUCGAGUCCCGGCUGCUCCACUUCUGAUCCAGCUCCCUGCUAAUGCCCUGGGAAAGCAUGGAGGACGGGCCAAGUGCUGGGCCCCUGCACCCGCACGGGAGACCCGGGAGAAGCUCCUGGCUCCUGGCUUUGGCUCAGCCCAGCUCCGGCCGGUGCAGCCACCUGGGGAGUGGACCACAGACAGAGACCUCUCCUGCCUGUCUCUCUCUAGUGCUGCCUUUAACAAAGAGCGAGCAUGGUCACUCCAGGUUUGUUAAUUCCCAGUGGUCACCACGAACUUGGGGAGGAUUUGUCGGUUCUGCGCUGCAUCUGUGGCCCCGCUGAGCGCGGCCGGACCAGACCCUCACACUCGGCACGACUGGCUGACGCCCACAGUGGCCUGGCCAGCACCACGCUGGGCCCGCGGAGCAUCAGAGACCCCCAUGCAAGGGACCGAGGUGCAGAAGACGGCGUCGGUGUGCACAGGACCACAGGACGAGGCCACACGUGGCGCCCUGCACGCGCGGCCUGAGAAGAAGGGGCAGGCUUGGCCUCGGUGCCUUCCCGGAGCUUCCCCAGGGCACGGUGGGCGCCAGCACAGCCGGCCUCACUUCCCCAUAAGCAGGAGUCGGAGGCCGCAUGGCUGUCACUCAUGCAGGCCCACGGGGGGCUCACUGCCCAUCCCCCAUCCUAGCCCCCAGGGACACCAGGCGCCCCUCAACCACCCGAGCGGUCAACAGCUGGCCACAGGCAGCGGGACAGAGGCAGGCCCUCAGCACGGCCACGCCCAGGUCUAACACCUGUCUUGUGGCUCGAGGGUGGGGUCUGAGCCACCCCCUCGGGGGGCCGCCUGGACUGGCACGCGUGCGGGAAGAGGCGAGGGGCUCUGGGACAGGCGGGGGGACGUGGGUGGUGUGUAUCAACCGGCCACAGGCUUGGGUGCUGCCUGCCUGGUCCUGAGGUCCUCCCCACCACACAC
rnacentral:lncRNA from 1 species